rnacentral:rRNA from 1 species
AAGCCUGAUCUAGCCAUGCCGCGUGAGUGAAGAAGGCCUUAGGGUCGUAAAACUCUUUCGCCAGAGAUGAUAAUCACAGUAUCUGGUAAAGAAACCCCGGCUAACUCCGUGCCAGCAGCCGCGGUAAUACGGAGGGGGUUAGCGUUGUUCGGAAUUACUGGGCGUAAAGCGCACGUAGGCGGACUGGAAAGUUGGGGGUGAAAUCCCGGGGCUCAACCUCGGAACUGCCUCCAAAACUAUCAGUCUAGAGUUCGAGAGAGGUGAGUGGAAUUCCAAGUGUAGAGGUGAAAUUCGUAGAUAUUUGGAGGAACACCAGUGGCGAAGGCGGCUCACUGGCUCGAUACUGACGCUGAGGUGCGAAAGUGUGGGGAGCAAACAGGAUUAGAUACCCUGGUAGUCCACACCGUAAACGAUGAAUGCCAGUCGUCGGGGAGCUUGCUCUUCGGUGACACACCUAACGGAUUAAGCAUUCCGCCUGGGGAGUACGGUCGCAAGAUUAAAACUCAAAGGAAUUGACGGGGGCCCGCACAAGCGGUGGAGCAUGUGGUUUAAUUCGAAGC